rnacentral:tRNA from 1 species
GCCGGCGUAGCUCAACGGCAGAGCACUGGUUUUGUAAACCAGCGGUUGCGAGUUCGAAUCUCGCCGCCGGCUCCA